CUGAUUUAGUCAUGAGUAUAUGAAACCUCUUUGAAAAUCACCUCUUUGAAAGAUGUGAAACCUUACAAAACGGGAUUGAAGUUUCACGCCAAAUCAUUACAUACUUGGAAGCAGUUUAACUACAUGUCCUGAGAAUGGUAUAAGAUACAUGCCUGUGCAAGAAGACAUACAUGGAAAGUAAGGGAAGACUUCUACCCGCCGGAGCAUUGAGAAAAAUUCAGAAUUACACCCUCAUCCCUGCAACAAGAAUGUAUAGAUCAACUAACCAUUCUUACAAAAUGGGCUCUUGAAAACGCACAACAAUCACCAAAUCUACCCUUUACGUGAUGGGUCAGGUUAUUGAUUUGGAAGAAUUAAAAACAAUUCAGUGUUAAGGAUGAAACCUGAGUUUACUCUUGAAGACAUCAAAACAUUAAAAUCAAUUCCAAAAGAACAAGCAAGAUAAUCCCUCAUUUAUAAGACAGCUCAAUACUGGAUUCAUACAAAAGUUAUAUGUGUUUUGUGAGGUAUUUUAUCGACUGUGAGUAAUAUCUUUCAUCAUUUUACAAUUGUAAUUAUUUUUCUAUUGUGACAGACAUACCAAGAAUUAAGAAUGAAAUGAUCGAUUACUACGAUGAGUAUCUUCACGUGUAAAACAAAUUCAAAGCAAGAAAGAGA